rfam:Perkinsus marinus ATCC 50983 gcontig_1104296778044, whole genome shotgun sequence.
UUAUAGGUUCCCCUAGGAACCAUCAUUACACCCUUCAAGUGUAUU